GAAAAAAGGGGUAACUCAUCCGUCUAAUAAGGCUACGAACGUGAAGACGCAUAUACUAAUCCUGUAACAGAUUUCCUAAGUCUUCUAGAAACCCUGCAUUUAAAGGGUUUGUGGAGGGAGUGGCAUCACCCCAGUUCAGAGGUUCCCAGCCAGGAGAUCAAGAACUACCUGUAAUCUCUUUCUUCUCCAUCCUUCUCUUUUCUGUCCCCCUGCUUAGGUCCAGCUCUCACCUGCCUCCCAUUGGUCUCUCUCCUCAGCCUCCGAUUUCCCUCCCCUCAAACCCAGCAAUCUCAAACACGAAUCAGCUAAUCUUACGAUAUUUCUAAAAUGGUGCAGCCGCUAUGGAAAAACAAUUUGGCAGCUCUUCAAAAAGUUAAACACGGAGUUACCAUAUGACCCAACAAUUCCACUCCUAGGUAUAUACUGUGUUUGGUUUCUAUAUGACAUUUUCCAUAAUAAAAAGAAAAACGAAAACAAAAAUAAAACUUCAUCUGCCCUGCCGGUCCUCCAAAAUAAAGUUCAGGUUCCUUAACCGCCUGCCAUUUAUAGCCCCCUUUGGAAUCUGGCUCCAGCCCAUCUCUUCCAGCCUCACCUCCAACGUCCUCUUUCCCCGACACGAUGCAAAUACACAAUCCUUCACACUCCA